UGAAGUUAUUAGGAUUUUUAUUAAUUAUCUUUGAUAGACAGGGUCCUGAAAAGGGGACGUCUCUUUUUUGCUGAUUUGACAUAUUAGAUGAGCAUAAGCCAUUUGUUACUUAAAAAAAAAAAAAAAACACUACAGUAGUCUCUAAGUAUUGUCAUUACCACCAUGACAAGCAAAUUACAUUAUUGUUUUUUUUUUAAGUUUGUGUAUUUGGUUAUUAUGGAUAUGAAUAGAGACAGUGGAGCUCAUGGGGGGAGAUUCAGAGUUUGAUGCCAGGAAAUGACAGAAAAUAAAGAAGAUCACAUGGGAUUUUUUGUAGGCUGGACAUGGGAAAGGUACUGCRUUUGAAAUCGGUCCAGCUGUGAAGAGAAGUUGAUUCCAUGGUGGCAAGAGGAAAGGCCCUUCAGAAUGGAAGGGUUCUACGAGGAACUUUCCAACGAGCAGUCAAAUGUCACAGAGCAAGAGAUUGAGAAAAUUGAUCUCCUGCUUCCAGAUCGUAUUGAGACGAUCCGUGGAACAAUGAAAAUACACCAGAUCGUCACUGCCAUUCCAGGACCAAUCACAUGGAGAGUUCUAAGUUGUUGGUGCUCAACUCCACAUCUGUGAUUGUUUUGGCCCACAGACCGUGAUAAUUCAACAGAGGCAGUCAAAGCACAAUCUUCACUUCAACCUGCACAGCACCAUAACUAUUUCCUAGUGCAAAACUGACCAUUGCAGACAUACAUGAGAGACUGAUUGGAAAGUGGUGUGUUGUGAAAACUCAUGAAGACCCUUACCUUGGUAUUAUACAAGAUGUUGAUGCAGAGAGCAGUGCUCUAGUCAAGACGAUGAGUCGUGUGAGAGCAAACUGAUUAUUUUGGCCAACGAGAGAGGAAAUUGUAUGGUACCAACCAGAGAAUGUGCUUGGGCUUGUCCCUGAACCUCAUCCAGUGACAAAAUGGCAUAUGAUGCCUGCUGGCGCAGUCUGGGAGGAAAUUUGCUCUCUGGUUAAGUAAUAGAGAGCAUAAUCUUGAGUGAGCACAUACCUGUCUCAUGAGUCUCAAUCAAUAGACUGCAGCCAGUGAACAACAAUUUGUUUAAUGUCGACUAGUGUUUAGAACCUUGUAGAUGUAUUUCUGCCUAAUGCUUUGAAUCCAACAAUUGUUCUAAAAUAUGCUUUAAGUUCUUGAGGCAUGUAACCUUUUGUUUUUUGAGGUUUUGAAUGGUGUGUUCUAUAUCUUCAAUAAAAUGAAACAUGUACAACUGUGACAUUCAAAAUGUUUAAUGGUAUUUUUCAGCAGUUUUAUAUGAAAUGUAAUUUCCACCACACUGUCAUUACCAUCACGGUACAUCUUUUUUAGGAAAAUGUGUAUUAAAUUACUAUUGAUGAUGAUUCCCAUAUGUGAACCUUUAUAUGCUUGUUCUUAAGAUAUUAAGAUGUUGAUGUGGUAAAUGCAUGUUUCUGAGUAUCAUCAAGGCAUAUAUGGACAAUUUUAUGAUGUGGUGGUAAUGACAUUUCCUCUCAGGUAUUUGUGGAAACCUAUAAACAAUCUUUAUAUUCUUAAAUAGUUUGGUCUCAGCUACUAUUUGAUCUUGUUUCCAGAUAGAGUGAAGAAAAUAUUCAGAUAGAUUUUAAAAAACUGUUUCAAGAGGUUUCAUUUUCAAAAACAUCCAAAAAGUGCCUGUAUAUACAAAAUCAACCAUAUCAAGUAUACCGAUACUACCACAGUGGCAGCUCUCAAACCUCCAUCCACUC